UAUUUUCAUCGGCAAUUUAUAUAGGAGCACACACAUGCCAUUACUACAAAGGAAAACACUUUAAGAUUUGGCACAGUGUCGUCUCACGGACAAGUGACAAAUCAAAUGAUCACUUGUCCGAAUGCUCUUCUAAACCUAGCAUUCGCUAGGUUUUUUUAUGCCUAUUCGGACA
rnacentral:ncRNA from 1 species